rnacentral:rRNA from 1 species
UGGAGCAUGUUGGUUAAUUCGAAGCAACGCGAAGUAACCUUACCAGGUCUUGACAUCCGAUGCUAUUUCUAGAGAUAGAAGUUACUUCGGUACAUCGGUGACAGGUGGUGCAUGGUUGUCGUCAGCUCGUGUCGUGAGAUGUUGGGUUAAGUCCCGCAACGAGCGCAACCCCUAUUGUUAGUUGCCAUCAUUCAGUUGGGCACUCUAGCGAGACUGCCGGUAAUAAACCGGAGGAAGUGGGGAUGACGUCAAAUCAUCAUGCCCCUUAUGACCUGGGCUACACACGUGCUACAAUGGUUGGUACAACGAGUUGCGAGUCGGUGACGGCGAGCUAAUCUCUUAAAGCCAAUCUCAGUUCGGAUUGUAGGCUGCAACUCGCCUACAUGAAGUCGGAAUCGCUAGUAAUCGCGGAUCAGCACGCCGCGGUGAAUACGUUCCCGGGCCUU